rnacentral:rRNA from 1 species
GUGGAUUAGAUACCCGAGUAGUCCACGCCGUAAACGAUGGAUGCUAGCCGUUGUCGGGUUUACCCGUCAGUGGCGCAGCUAACGCAUUAAGCAUCCCGCCUGGGGAGUACGGUCGCAAGAUUAAAACUCAAAGGAAUUGACGGGGGCCCGCACAAGCGGUGGAGCAUGUGGUUCAAUUCGAAGCAACGCGCAGAACCUUACCAGCCUUUGACAUCCCGGUCGCGGGCACCAGAGAUGGAGCCCUUCAGUUCGGCUGGACCGGAGACAGGUGCUGCACGGUUGUCGACAGCU